rnacentral:rRNA from 1 species
AUUGAACGCUGGCGGCAGGCUUAACACAUGCAAGUCGAACGAGUGGCGGACGGGUGAGUAAUGCUUGGGAAUCUGGCUGAUGGAGGGGGAUAACUACUGGAAACUGUAGCUAAUACCGCAUACCAUCAGAUGAGCCCAAAUGGGAUUAGGUAGUUGGUGAGGUAAAGGCUCACCAAGCCGACGAUCCCUAGCUGGUCUGAGAGGAUGACCAGCCACACUGGGACUGAGACACGGCCCAGACUCCUACGGGAGGCAGCAGUGGGGAAUAUUGCGCAAUGGGGGCAACCCUGAUGCAGCCAUGCCGCGUGAAUGAAGAAGGCCUUCGGGUUGUAAAGUUCUUUCGGUAGCGAGGCGUUACCUACAGAAGAAGCACCGGCUAACUCCGUGCCAGCAGCCGCGGUAAUUC